GGCUUCCUCCCACAGAUCCAGCUGUAAGGCUGACCUGGCCUUGAUCUGCACGGUCUUCCCACCUGCUUGUUGCGAGCCUGGACCAGAACUGGAUCUGAUAUGACGCAGCAUCCCGUUAUUCUCAAGUCAACUCUCUACAAUGACUCCUGAGAUCAUUUACCAGAAGGGUAUCAGUGUAUCCUCCACUGAGAAGAAAAUGAAGGAUGUAAUAUGAAUGAAUACCUACAUAUAAGGAAGGCAAUUACAGAACAAUGCUACUUCAUGGACUCACAUUAGGUUUAUAUUUGUAAAAAAAAAAAAUUCCAAUCUGACAUCAGCAUAGUCAAGUAAAUUUUGUUUUAUACUAGUGUUAAGUCACUGUAAUUCAGAUACAAUAAGGUGCAAUGUCUUCUAACAGUUACAACAGGCAGGACACCUGUUGUGUCCUGCUCAUUCACUUGCCCACCAUGGUUGUGGCUAUAUCAUCUCCAUGUUUCUGGGCAAUCUCAUUUGCCUCAGACAGGUGACCAGAUCUAACUUGAAUGUAAUAAUCCAUGUGUUCUCUGAGGUAGCCCAUGACUAAUGAAAGAAUAUUUAGAAAGAACACAAACGUCUAUCACAGUACUGUACUCAGUAUAUGAAGAAAAGACAGAAUAGAGAAAUCUAAGGAAUGAUUUUCCACAUUCUAUUUUCUGAUCAGAUCGUCACUAUAUUUAGGGAGAAAUUUCUGUUUGCAUAUCUUGAAUUUUUCCUCACAAUUAAAAAGUAUGUGAAAUGCAAUAAUGAAAUGGAGCUUUAAGGUAUGACUGCAGCAGCUACAAAACUUGUGACCUACCAUCUGUCCUGCCCACAAGAUGGCAUGGCAAUGGUGGAACAGAAAUUAUGGAAGUAGCCAACCAAUGUCUGAUUUGAGUUAAGGCUCACUCACUCCAAAAGGUGAAAGUCAUACCCAACCUGCCUGCAUAACCAAGGACCAGAGCCUAGACAGCCCAGAAACCUAGGAUAAAACAAACACUAGUCAUGUAAAAUGAGAAAUAGAAGUAUGAACAAAAUCGACUACUAAUUCUGUUGUGCUGUACUAAUAGAUCAGUGCUUUAUUCAGUCAUCAUGUGAGAAGAUGUCUACAACUGCAGAUGGGAACAGAUGCAGAAGCCCAAAGUCAGACAUCAGGAGAAGAGAGAGUCUACAUGGAGGUCUCCAUCAAAUGCUUCCCCUCAGAGCUCAGGGAACCGUAGAGAGGAUGAGGCAGAAAGAGUGUAACAGCCAGGAGAGAUAGAGGACACCAGGACAACAAGACCCUCUGAAUAAGCAAGUGCAAGUGAACUCACAGGGAUUGAAGUAGCAGACACAGGGCCUACACAGGUCUGCACAUAUAUACUAUAUCUUUACGCUUAGCAUUAUUAUAUGACUGCUGAAUGUGAGGACAAUGAGGAAGAAGAGGUGGUUGGGAAAUCAGAAGGGAAAGACAUGUCAUUCUCUAAACUCCAUACCAUACAACUAUUAUAACCAGUAACCAACAGCAAAUGCACUUACCUGCACUGGCCUCACAGAACACCACAGACUAGGAAAGGGAAAAGGCUCACUUUAUUUCUUAGACGUUGGCUAUGAAUAUACUGUAGGAGAAGAAUCAUUGCCUUUAGUUGUUAUCCUGUGCUGAGCGCAUUAGGCUCGAGCACACAUCAGGCUCCAAACCCACAGUCUCACAUAUGGCUCUGGUUCAUCUCAGUGGAUCACAAGCAAUAUGAAUAGAGAUGAACACAGUAGAGUGACUGUUGGAAUUGUGGACCAGGAUAGUGGAGAGGUAGGAGGUAGAUAGGCAGUAUUUGAUGUAUAUUUUCCCAUGUGCACACAGACACACAUAGACACACAGACACACAGACACACACAGACACACACACACUGUGUUAUACAUUUAUAUGUCGGUGUGAAAUAGACAAUAAUAGACAAUCGGUGGGAGAUAUUUACUCGUUCAUUCAUUCAUUCAUUCAUUGUAGACAAGGUUUCUCUGUAUAAACCUGGGUUUAAAGGUACCUAUAAUCAACUCAAUUUUCUUUUAAAUUACCACAUCAGUCUUUAAUUUGUUUUUAGUUGUACAAGUAUCUAGUGGGAUUUAUUUAUUUGUUUAUUUUUGUUUUUGAGAAAUCACUAAGAUCAGCCUACCUCUGCCUCUGGAAUGCUAGGACUAAUGGGAUGUUCCACCAAGCCCAGCUCAGUAUCUGCUUUAGCAUCAAAUAAUAAUUAGAGUCAGGAACUGUCUCAUUUUAUGUUAAGAAGUAAGUCAAUGAUAAGUCAUAUUGCUUUUAGUUCUACGUAGUUCUGAUAGAAUUCUGUGGACGUGGGAUUAUUUUAAGGAUAGCAUUUUAUACUCCUUCAGUCACAUUGUUACUUGUAGUCUUGUUCAUAUUAUUUAUUUCAUAUUGUGUGUUAUAUACAUCUGAAACCUCAUCUAUUUCCAUUAGAGUUUCCAGUUUAGUGCAAUAGAAGUCUUUAAUGUCAGUAGAUACAAGCUCUAAUUGUUAACUCAUUUCUAGCAAGUAGGUUGUGCCUUUACCUUGGGUAAACUGUUAGGUCAUUACAAGCUGGGCAGUGGUGGUGUACUCCUUUAAUCAAAGCACUCAGGAGGCAAAGGCAUGUAGAUCUCUGUGAGUUCAAUGCAAUCCUGGCCUACAGAGUGAGUUUCAGGUCAGCCAAUGUUACACAGUGAAGGUCUAUCUCUACAAAUAAAUAAGCACAUAGG
ensembl:lincRNA Gm26753 predicted gene, 26753